CCUCGUUCCUAUUGGCCGCCGUGGCUGUCAAUCACCUCCUGCCCGGGCUGGGCGUGGCCGCGGCGCUGGCGCUGGGGGAGGGGCUUGUGGGGGGCGGGGCCUACGGGAACGCCUUCAGCAACCUGGGCGAGCAGGUGCCCCUCCCCCAGCAGCCGCUGGCCAUCGCUGUGGUCACUCUGGGGGCCGAAGUCGCCAUCGCUGCGGCCGGAGCGGCCGGACUGGGGGCGCACGCGGCGUUCUGCGGCCGGGAGUGACCCUGAGUGACCACUGAGUGACCACUGACCAGUGAGUGACCAUGAGUGACCACUGAGUGACCGCUGAGUGACCACUGAGUGACCACUG
rnacentral:lncRNA from 1 species